rnacentral:lncRNA from 1 species
AGACAGUCAGUCAGUUAGAAUUGAGUCUCUCAGCUAUGUAUAAAUGUAAAUAUUCUAUUUUGAGACUCGAGUUGCCUUUUUGGCCAGAUAUGUAUCAGUUAAGUUGUUUAUGUCUUUGCAUGGCAUUGAGUUUUCUGUUGAGUCAGGUUUCCGCUGAGUUAAGAAAGCCAGGCCAAGGGUUCGCUUGGGGCCAGCAAUGGUCUCCGAGUGCCGGUCCCGCCCAGGGUGUAGGCUC